UCUCUCAAGUCUGAUUGUCUCAUCUAAUUUCUGAAAACCCAAACCUCCUUAAAACCUUCAACCCAGUCUCUGCGACGAUCGACGGCAGCGGCACGACGACCUCGUCUCGUUCUCGCAACGUCACUCUGUCAGUCACUCAAUCUCGCUUUUGGUGGUGGAGCAGAAGAAAGAAAAUAAAAAAAUAAGAAGGGGUCGGGAAAGAGAGGAGAAAGAAGAGAAUAGAGGGAUGUUGAGAAAGAUAGAGAAGAAAAGAAGAAGAAAUAGGAAGAGGGAAGAAGAAGAUGUUUAUCUUCCGGAGGGUUGCUUUCUAAGGGAGAGGAGAUCAUAAACGAGAGAGAAGGAGAGAGACGAGUUUGUUUGAAGUUAAAAGGCAAGAACAUGGUGUUGGGUUCAGUUUCUUUUUGUUGAAGCUUGUAGGAGAAACAUCAAGUUCAAUGGUUCAAUUGCAUGUUCAAAGGUGGAAUCACAUCUUGGUGAUGUUGCUCCAUUGCAACCUGAAGGUCCCGGGUUUGAAGGGGGAGAUAGCCUCUCCCAGAUGGGGUCAACAGUCUCUAGGCUCUGCAAUGGCUGGAUUCCCAUGCAUAUUGGGCUGUCUGUAAAAUAGACGAGAAGGCAAUCAAUGAGGUAUUUCUGAAAGUCCUGGAUAAUUAGAUCAAAUGGUGCAUAUACCUGCGGAUCUGGCUUCACAAGCAAUUAAUCGGGACAUAAACUUUUUCUGGUGUCAUUGUACUUUCUGAUAUGGGGUGAGGCUGCAAAUGUCCACUUUCUUCCUGAAUGCAUUUGCUACAUGUUUGACCAUAUGGCGAAGGAGUUAGAUGCUAUUCCUGCUGCUGGCUGCACAAUAGAAAAUGAUUAUGUGUCCUUCCUCAAGCAGAUUGUUUAUCCUAUGCAUGAAACAUUGGCAGCGGAAGCUGCUAGAAACAAUAAUGGGAAAGCUGCGCAUUUCAGCGUGGCGGAAUUAUGACGACUUCAAUGAAUACUUUUGCUUUGUUUGCUUGUCAUUCAAUUAUGGAUGAACAAUGUGAUUCCUUCUUUUUGGUGUGUGAAGCGUCUGUGGAAUAUGCAGGUCACCUGCUUGUUUAGUUGAGCUAAGAGAUUGGAUGAAGAUUGUGGAAUCGUAAGUCGCUUGUAUUGAUCAUACAUAUUAGGUUGUUGCUGAAGGAAAGCAUCAUUUUUGUGCUUCUCUGCUGGUCCAAUAUUCAUGCACUGUGUGGCAUGUUUUGUAACAAAUAGUUUGUAUUUGUAUCAGCUUUUGAUGUCCCAGGUAGAUGGGCAUGCAUUUGAAUGCUUUUCUUCUUUUAAUGUUGGCUUGAAUGAUUGGGAAAUCCUCCCUUUUAACGUUUGAAUGCUUUUCUUCAAAUAGUAUGAGUUGGAUUACUCUUUA